rnacentral:rRNA from 1 species
GACGAACGCUGGCGGCGUGCUUAACACAUGCAAGUCGAACGAGUGGCGAACGGGUGAGUAAUACGUGAGUAACCUGCCCUCUUUUUGGGAUAAGCCUUGGAAACGGGGUCUAAUACCGGAUAAAGGGGGAUGGGCUCGCGGCCUAUCAGCUUGUUGGUGGGGUGAUGGCCUACCAAGGCGGUGACGGGUAGCCGGCCUGAGAGGGUGAACGGACAAAUUGGGACUGAGAUACCGCCCAGGAUCCUACGGGAGGGAGCAGUGGGGGAUAUUGCACAAUGGGCGAAAGCCCGAUGGAGCGACGGCGGCUGGGGGAUGAAGGCUUUUGGGUUGUUAACCUCUUUCGCCAUCGAAAGGGUAGGUGGAGAAGAAGCGCCGGCUAACUACGUGCCAGCAGCCGCGUAAUUC